rnacentral:rRNA from 1 species
UACAGAGGGGGCAAGCGUUGUUCGGAAUUACUGGGCGUAAAGGGCGCGUAGGCGGCCUGUUAAGUCGAACGUGAAAUCCCCGGGCUCAACCCGGGAACUGCGUCCGAUACUGGCAGGCUUGAAUCCGGGAGAGGGAUGCGGAAUUCCAGGUGUAGCGGUGAAAUGCGUAGAUAUCGCUUGGAACGCCGAAGGUGAAAACAGGCUGCUGGGGUUGCGCCGACGCUGAGACACGAAAGCCAGGGGAGCAAACGGG